rnacentral:lncRNA from 1 species
UUGCCUAUAUGCACUUCAAAAUUUUUGAAAUAUCUCAUUUAUUUUUAUUUUUUUAUUUCAAAUAUAUUGUUUUAUAUAUUUCUUCAUUAUUCAAAAAUAUUCCUACUGUUAGUGCCCGUUAAGUCAUCUCGAAUUAAAUCUGAGUUAAAAUUUUAACAUAGUUAAAAAUAGUGAAAAUAUCUAUUUUGCCCAUAAUUUAAAAGCAAAUAAGAAAAGUUGGUGACUGUAGAAGGGUAUAUUUGGAAAGGCAAAAAAUUAAAAUAUUGUUUUUGCCCCUCACUUAAGUGCAAAUAAAAAAAUUGGUAACGGUAAAAGAGUACAUUUGAAAGGGUAAAAUAGUAAUUUUAAGUUGUUUCUAAUAGUUCACUAACAUAAUUUAACUAUAGGAGUAUAUUUGAAAUACUUUAAAACAUUAAAAGGGUUUUUUUAAUAUUAACCUUCUAGGAGGGGUAAAUAAAAAAGUCAAAAAUUCUUUAGGGGUAUAUAAG